AUGCUGGAACCCACCCGCCUCCUCGUCACCAAGGACAAGGACGACAAGGAGUCGUCUGAACUCAACUCUCUCCAUCCCAUCUGGGUGAGGGAGGAUCAACAAGUGCUCGGCUACCUCCUCAACAACCUCUCCAAAGAAGUGCUGAUCGCGGUGACCACGGUCACCACCACGCACGCCCUCUGGGUGGCGCUUGGCAUGUUUUCUUCUCAAUCUUUGAGCCGUGUAAACAAUAUUCGCACUGCCUUGAUCAAUGCACAGAAGGGCACCCAAUCGGUUGCUGCAUACUACGCUCAUAUGUGUGGCCUUGCCGAUGAACUCGCCGCGGCCGGCAAGCCUAUCCAGGAUGAUGAGCUCACCUCCUACCUGCUGCAUGGGCUAGACAUGGACUACCAGCCUCUCGUCUCCGCCCUCGACGCCCGUGUCACGCCGGUCUCCAUCGACGAGCUGUACUCCAUGCUGAGCAACUUCGAUCAUGAUGUGGCACAGUUUCACAACACCGGCGGUGGCUUCAAGUCUUCGGCCAACGCUGCCACUCGCGGGCGCGGCGGGUACUCCUCGCGCUCUCGCGGUCCUCCCUGA
rnacentral:rRNA from 1 species